AAAAUGGACAACAGACGAGACUACGUACUGGAGUCGGGCAGGACUGUAUUGUACUUGUUUCUGGUUUCUGAUGAGAAAGAGAUGCCAACAGACAAGUACCAAUGGGCCAGCAUACAAUAGCAAUGUCCAGUAUUGAAACCCUCUAAACUACGAGGACUACUUUAAUCAAAGUGGAUUAGAUCAUAUUACCAAACACUACCACAUUUGUGCUAGGCUAUACCAGACAACCUCCGGUACUGAGAAUGGAGGGUGAUGGGACUAUACAGCCUUGCAUUCCCAUCUCCUUCGACACCAGUUAUUCUACUAGGCUACAUGACUGUCAAAGUUGUUGGAAUCUCAGAGUAGCUCACCUGAGUGUUCUUCAAGCUCUCCUAACGUAGCUUAGGGUCCUGUCGCUGCUUGCCUGAGAACGGAAGAAGACUGCUUCAUUAAUUCUGCCAGUUACCAUAUCACUGCUUGUGACAGCAGAAGUAAAGUUACUUUACCCACCUGACCUGCUCCUCUGAACUUUGCAGCGACCGCACCUACCACUGCAGCGUCAACAUCGGCUGAAUUGAACACGAUGAACGCAGCAUGUCCUCCAAGCUCCAUCGAAACACGCUUCACUGUGUCUACUGAUUGCUUCAUUAAGAUCUUAAAAUAUUUGGAAUACCAGUAAUUAGUCCGCGUUCAAGUAAAUGCUUUACAAUUGAUGGGGAUAGAACCUAAUCGUCUGAGGAUCCAGUGAAUGAUAUCUUGGAAACUUUUGGACUCUGACAAAGAACCCUGCCAACCUCAGAAACAUGUUGCUGAGAGCAAGUGACAACAUUCAAAACACCAGCAGGAAUUCCAGCUUGCUCUGCAAACUAAUAGGUUAGCAAAAUUUGUUUUAAUAAUAUUUAUUUUGACAACACAUCUUGUUAUUACCUACUUAUAUAUUAUAAUAAGAUUAAGCAGUCUUGCUUUGAUGGUAGCAACUGCCCUGGAAAACGACAUUUGUACAAAUGGCUUUCGGUAAAUAAUUAAAAAAAUGUAAUCAAUAUAAUAAUAUAAUAUAUGAACAGAUUUAUUCUUGAAGCAACUGAAUAAUAGUGUAACCUUUGAACUUUCAAGGACUCUAUUAAGGGAUGUUCCCGCGGAGUCUCGCUCUCUCGUGGGGGCUCAUCGACUAGCCAAGCUGCGUCUUGUUGGAGGCUCACACUUUGUAUAGAAUAAAACCGUUGACAUCCAGCUUACUUGGUGUCUGGCUCAUUCAUUGAAGUCCGAACUCAUCUAGUAACAUCCAUAGAGAGUUACUUGUUGGAGGCUCACACUUUGUAUAGAAUAAAACCGUUAACAUCCAGCUUA